CCGCGGUGACUUCCACGGGGGCGUGCUGGUGCUGACGGUGCUGGUCGAGGGGAUCCUGGCCCCCGCCGCGGA
rnacentral:tRNA from 1 species